rnacentral:lncRNA from 1 species
UGUCGGGGCCGGUCGUGCCCGCGCUGUGCCCGCGCCAGCUCCCGGCUGGCAUCCAGCAUCAGCAGGGCGGGCACGAGCACCCAGAGCCCGUUGAGCCCCACGAAGUAACCCCAGAAAUAAAAGGGGUGGGGGUCGCUGUGAGCCCAGCCCGCCCGCGCCUCCGUGGCGAAGUACAGGAUGUCACCGUACAGCUGGCCUGGGGACAGACAGGGACAGGGUUAGGGACAGCCUGGGGACACAGGGACAGACAGGGACACGGUUAGGGACAGGGACAGUACAGGAUGUCACCGUACAGCUGGCCUGGGGACACAGGGACAGACAGGGACACAGUUAGGGACAGCCUGGGGACAGCCAGGGCAAAGUACAGGAUGUCACCAUACAGCUUGCUGGGGACAGAGGGGACAAGGACAAGGUUAGGGACAGCCUGGGAACAGGGCAAAGUACAGGAUGUCACUGUACAGCUGGCCUGGGGACAGGGACAGACAGGGACACAGACAGGGACAGGGGUUAGAGACAGCCUGGGGACAGGGACACAGAGAGGGACACAGUUAGGGGACAUGGGGACAGCCUGGGGACAGCCAGGACAAAGUACAGGAUGUCACCGUACAGCUGCCCUGGGGACAGAGGGGACAAGGACAGGGGUCAGGGACAGCAACAGGGACAUGGGGACAGCAUGGGGCCAGGGACAGGCCUGGGGGAUGGUGACACCGGGGACAUUGGGGACACAGGGGACAGCAGAAUGUUGACGCUGGUGGCACAGAGACACAGGACAAUGGGUGCACUGGGGACAGGAGGAUGGAGACACAGGGAUGGUGACACUGAGGACAGGGGGAUGGUGACACUGGUGACACUGGAGAGGUGACACUGAAGACACUGGUGACACAGGGGUGGGUACACUGGUGACAUGGGGACACAGGGACGCUGGGGAGGUGACACAGGGAUGGUGACACAGGUGACACAAGUGACACAGGGAUGGUGACACUGGGGAGGUGACACAGGUGACAGGUGACAUGCUGACACAGGGAUGGUGACACAGGUGACAUUGGUGACACAGGGACACUGGGGAGGCGACACUGGGGAGGUGACAGAGCUGACACAGGUGA